AAGCUAUUGCAGAUCCAUUUGCUUAUGAAGCUUAUAUAGAGAAAAAGAAACAGGAAAAGAUAGAGGCUGACCGCGCUUCUCGUAUUACGAUUAAAAGGAAGUUGCCCAAAGUAAACCGUUUACUUGCUGCCAAACUUCUUGAAAAUCAGGAAGCAGAAGGUGAGGUUACAGUGGCAGAUGGCCCUAAUACAAAAAAAAAAUCUUCAAAGAAAAAUAGAGGCUU